GACGAACGCUGGCGGCGUGCUUAACACAUGCAAGUCGAACGGAAAGGCCCUGCUUUUGUGGGGUGCUCGAGUGGCGAACGGGUGAGUAACACGUGAGUAACCUGCCCUUGACUUUGGGAUAACUUAAGGAAACUGGGGCUAAUAUCGGAUAGGAGCUCCUGCUGCAUGGUGGGGGUUGGAAAGUUUCGGCGGUUGGGGAUGGACUCGCGGCUUAUCAGCUUGUUGGUGGGGUAGUGGCUUACCAAGGCUUUGACGGGUAGCCGGCCUGAGAGGGUGACCGGCCUCAUUGGGACUGAGGUAGGGCCCAGACGCCUACGGGAGGCAGCAGUGGGGAAUAUUGCACAAUGGGCGGAAGCCUGAUGCAGCAACGCCGCGUGCGGGAUGACGGCCUUCGGGUUAUAAACCGCUUUCGCCUGUGACGAAGCGUGAGUGACGGUAAUGGGUAAAGAAGCACCGGCUAACUACGUG
rnacentral:rRNA from 1 species